AGUGAACGCUGGCGGUAGGCCUAACACAUGCAAGUCGAACGGCAGCACAGUAAGAGCUUGCUCUUACGGGUGGCGAGUGGCGGACGGGUGAGGAAUACAUCGGAAUCUACUUUUUCGUGGGGGAUAACGUAGGGAAACUUACGCUAAUACCGCAUACGACCUACGGGUGAAAGCAGGGGAUCUUCGGACCUUGCGCGAUUGAAUGAGCCGAUGUCGGAUUAGCUAGUUGGCGGGGUAAAGGCCCACCAAGGUGACGAUCCGUAGCUGGUCUGAGAGGAUGAUCAGCCACACUGGAACUGAGACACGGCCCAGACUCCUACGGGAGGCAGCAGUGGGGAAUAUUGGACAAUGGGCGCAAGCCUGAUCCAGCCAUACCGCGUGGGUGAAGAAGGCCUUCGGGUUGUAAAGCCCUUUUGUUGGGAAAGAAAAGCAGCAGGUUAAUACCCCGCUGUUCUGACGGUACCCAAAGAAUAAGCACCGGCUAACUUCGUG
rnacentral:rRNA from 1 species